rnacentral:lncRNA from 1 species
AGUGGAGCAGCUCCUGGAGCAAGACAGAAAUAAGGACUGUUCUUUAAUCUGAAGUUGCAUUGUAACACUCCGAAUUCAUCUGAAAAACUUCCAGUUGUGUUACGAACUUUUAUUUCUUAUGAACCAUGUGUUGAUGACAGUGGUGGUUGAAGAGAAUGUGAAGACUGUGGAAGUUAUGUGUGAACAGAAGAAUGUAUAUUGAAUAAUGCAUAAAGAAGGACAGUGGAGAAUGCUGAAUUAUACCCCAGACUAUGAAUGUUGGUACACGGAAAGAAUGUGAAGUUUAAAAACUCAUCAAUGUAGUAAGAAUCUU